UACGUAGAGUGCAAGCGUUGUCCGGAAUUAUUGGGCGUAAAGAGCUCGUAGGCGGUUUGUUGCGUCGGCUGUGAAAUCCCGAGGCUCAACCUCGGGUCUGCAGUCGAUACGAGCAAACUAGAGUGUUGCAGGGGAGACUGGAAUUCCUGGUGUAGCGGUGAAAUGCGCAGAUAUCAGGAGGAACACCGGUGGCGAAGGCGGGUCUCUGGGCAACAACUGACGCUGAGGAGCGAAAGCCAGGGGAGCAAACGGG
rnacentral:rRNA from 1 species